UUCAUUCUGAACAUGUCACCGGGGACUUUGGAAUGUGUAUCCAUAACUCCCUGAUUUUCAACCACAUUCCAGCCUGCCUGACUCAUGAAGCGUGGAGCGACCCAGGAACAUCCCAGCUCCUCAUGUCCCACAUUCUUCAGGCUUUCUCUUAGUUUUGGCAUGUGCAUGUAAAUGUCAACAGGCAUGGUGGCUCACACGUGUAAUUCUAGCACUUUGGGAGGCCGAGGCAGGUGGAGCACCUGAGGUCAGGAGUUCAAGACCAGCCUGGUCAACAUGGCGAAACCCCGUCUCUACUAAAAAUACGAAAUUAGCCAGGCGUGGUGGCGGACGCCUGUAAUCCCAGCUAUAAUCCCAGCUACUCAGGAGGCUGAAGCAGGAGAAUCGCUUGAACCUGGGAGGCAGAGCUUGCAGUGAGCCGAGAUCACGCCACUACACUGCAGCCUGGGUGACAGAGUGAGACUCCAUCUCAAAAAACAACAACAAAAUAAAUAAAUAAAUAAAAAUAAAAUGUCUUGUUCUCUUUUUUCCUCCAGUGCCCAGAUCAG
rnacentral:lncRNA from 10 species